AUUGAACGCUGGCGGCAGGCCUAACACAUGCAAGUCGAGCGAUCGGCGGACGGGUGCGUAAUGUCUGGGAAACUGCCUGAUGGAGGGGGAUAACUACUGGAACCGGUAGCUAAUACCGCAUACCAUCAGAUGUGCCCAGAUGGGAUUAGCUAGUAGGUGGGGUACCGGCUCACCUAGGCGCCGUGCCCUAGCUGGGCUGAGAGGAUGACCAGCCACACGGGAACGGAGACACGGUCCAGACUCCUACGGGAGGCAGCAGUGGGGAAUAUUGCACAAGGGGCGCAAGCCUGAUGCAGCCAUGCCGCGUGUGGGAAGAAGGCCUUCGGGUUGUAAAGCACUUUCAGCGGGGAGGCGUUACCCGCAGAAGAAGCACCGGCUAACUCCGUGCCAGCAGCCGCGGUAAUUC
rnacentral:rRNA from 1 species